rnacentral:rRNA from 1 species
GUUGAAAAGUACUCUGAAGAGAGAGUAAACAGUACGUGAAACCGCUCAGAGGUAAACGGGUAGAGUUGAACUGCAAGCCUUGGAGAUUCAGCUGAUGAACAUGGUAUAAGCUUGGUUAUGACGGUCGGCUUCAGGGGUCUGCUUAACUGCAGGUUGCUGCUCUUGGGUGGCGAUUCGCGAUGCACUUUUCAUGUGUUGCGUGCCUUUGUUGUACGGGUCAGUUCGUCAGUGCACUUCUUCAGGGUAUUCACCACGACCGACGCUGCUGUCGGCCUACUGUGCUAUUGGCAGGUAGCUCAUUUGUCUUCGGGCAUUUGAGUGUAAUAGCCGAGUGCAGUGGUGCUGUGCAGUGCGUCGGAGACGGCGGC